CGGAGGAUCCAAGCGUUAUCCGGAAUCAUUGGGUUUAAAGGGUCCGUAGGCGGUUUAGUAAGUCAGUGGUGAAAGCCCAUCGCUCAACGGUGGAACGGCCAUUGAUACUGCUAGACUUGAAUUAUUAGGAAGUAACUAGAAUAUGUAGUGUAGCGGUGAAAUGCUUAGAGAUUACAUGGAAUACCAAUUGCGAAGGCAGGUUACUACUAAUGGAUUGACGCUGAUGGACGAAAGCGUGGUAGCGAACAGGAUU
rnacentral:rRNA from 1 species